rnacentral:rRNA from 1 species
UACGUAGGGGGCAAGCGUUGUCCGGAAUCAUUGGGCGUAAAGCGCGUGUAGGCGGCUGGCUAAGUCCGCUCUGAAAGCCCGGGGCUCAACCCCGGGAGGCGGGUGGAUACUGGUCAGCUCGAGUCCGGAAGAGGAGUGUGGAAUUCCUGGUGUAGCGGUGAAAUGCGCAGAUAUCAGGAGGAACACCGGUGGCGAAGGCGGGUCUCUGGGCCGUAACUGACGCUGAGGAGCGAAAGCGUGGGGAGCGAACAGG